CUGCGUCAUUUCCGGUGUGUGGUAGAUUCCCUUUCCUUUCUGCACAUGAGUCCACCAUCGCCUCCACUUCUCCUCCAGUGUCAGAGUGUGUGUUCUGCUGGACGCUGCUGUUGAGUGUGUGUCCGGUGUGUGUUCUCCUCUCCUCACUCCUGUCCUCCAUCUGUGUUUACUGCUUCUGUCGUCCUCAAACUACAGGUUCUGACAUGAGUGCUGAGAUUCUUAAAGCAAAUGUUUUGAUGGCAGAUUGUGUGGAGAAACAUCAGUGUGAGGCGAGUAAGACUGGAAAGAUCUGCGUCCACACUGAAGUCUCUUAUAGACGACUGACAUCUAAACAUCCCUACACCAACAUCUGACACAUGAACUGCUCUUAGUCUACUUUCUGUCUUAUUUCUGACAGCACAUUAUCUAUUACAAUCAAAUGUUUUUUUUUAAAUGAAUAGUGUGAUCCACAGAUUAUUUAGGGUUUAACAUUUUAUUUUUGACAAUAUUAAUGUUUCAAAAAUUAUUAAGAAAAGCAGAUUAUUAAUAACAGCACAAGGCUGUGUAUGUUUGUAUCUGCAGAUCAUCUGCAUAUCUCAAAAUAAAUUAGUAGUGUAAAUGUUCACUCAUGAAUGAUCACUUAUGUUUCAAAUAUUAACACAACAUAUUUAAUAGUUAUCAGCGUCUGUGAACAUGAAUAAAGCUUAAAGAGAGAGUCAUGAACAAACAAUGGCUCCAUCUAGUGGCUAAUAGCUGAAGUGACAUCAAGACCACUUGUCAAGACCACUUGUCCAUCUGGGUUGCCUUGACCAUCCAGUUUAUAAGAUGAAGAUAGUUUUUAUGAUUGUUUCUGUAUUAGAAAUAAAAAGUCUGACCACUUCUUUACAGAUUUAUUGUUUUUUUUAUUCAACAAAAACAAAACAAACACCAGCAAUAAACUACACAUAUGAUGUCUUCAGAUUUAAGUAAAAUUGGAUUAGGACUUUACUUCAUUCAUAAACUGAUGGGAUUGUGCUCAUAAUAACAAAUAAUAAAAGUUACUGUAAACACAAACAUGUUCAAGCUCAAACUGGUACACAAAGUUCUGCUGUUGUUUAUGAUGUAAACGGCUUGAAACUGUGACAAAUCAAAUUUAUAAUGUGUAAAAUAUACAGAUGAGCAGUACUAAAUACAAUAAUAGCCUAAUAUUUCACCCAGUCUACUUGAUCAUAAGUGAUGAGCAAGAGCAAGCAUUAAUGUUGUCAAGAUUCUGCCCAAGAAAUCCUGUUUCCAUCUGUCCUAUAUAUAUAUAUAUACUGUAGUCAUUUAGUGCAAGAGUUUGACUGUUAAAUGCCACAGGAUGUGAGAAGCGCUUUUCAUGUGUGACUGAAGUGCUGGUUAUGGUGAUGGAGAGAGUCCAGCCUGCUCUUUGUUUUUCUAGGGUACGACCCAAACCACAAAUGUUUCCAGUGGCCUUUGUCACUGUCCUCUUGUGAAUGCUUACGUCUCUGUAUUUAUGAGUUUUGAUCAAGUUAAAAAUAUAUAUUUGAUAUUUUCACUUUCGGAUUAUGAGUUUACAAUUUAGUAAAUUUCACAUUUCAUGUCAAAUCCACACUGAUCAAAUACACACUGCAACUCUGAUACACAUUAUUAAUUUAACAGUAAAGUGUCUGUAGAUUAUCACCAGGCCCACCAUACUAGCACAAACACUUUAUCAAUCAAUCAAUCAAUCAAUCAAAUUAAACUGAUAUAAUAAAAGUGAUCUUGAUCGCUCUUGUUUCACCAUGGGAUUUUUAGACAAGCUGAGACAGGAAACCACAGCCUCGUGAUUGUGUCAGUGCACUAGUUGUGACUUGAGCUUGUAUGGAGUGCACAAAUGGAAUGGAAAGCUUUGCGGUCACAGACAAAAGCAAAAAUAAGUUUCUAGCAACUUUUAAAGACCAAGAGCAAAAGAAACCUUGAGUAAAGACAUUCAUUCUGGAGGUUUAGAAGCCAAAGAAAACAAUCAGCAUGUAGAUGAACGAUGCCAAACAAGAAACUCAUGAAGACGCUCAACACUUCAGGUCAUCUCCAUUACAACAUUAAACAUCACAUCGUCCAAAACAAAAGUCACAACAAUUUAUGAAACUGAGUUCACUCUUGCAUUUUAUUAUUAAACUUGAACAUCUAAAAGAGCUUUUAAAGUGUGUUUAAAGGAGCAGAUGAGAGGAAACAGACCAGAUUAUAAUCGUAAAAACAAAACAACAGCAUAAAGAUUCAGAGCUCUUCCACAGAGAUCCCUCCCACCACAAUGAAGCGGACCUUCACACUGCAGCUGAAGACCCUCACAUUCACAGUCUCUGAGAUGGGGCGAGCGAGACUUACAGUCAUCAUACUUCUGUGUGUUUGGUUGUGUGAAGAGCAGAAAGUGUUUGGGACAGAAGUGGACAUGAGAGUUAAACCAGGAGAAAGCGUCACUCUCUACUGCGCUUUACCUUCUGGAUCAGACAUUAUUUGGAUGAGAAACUGCUCACAUGAGAAUCAGCCAUCUCUGUCAAUAGAUCGCUCAACACUCUUCAAGGAGACGUUUCCACGCUUCAGUUUUGUGCCCAACAGCUCCAGUAACUCCUAUGAU